GUAGCUUCGUGUGAUGUGAAAAAAUUUCAAUGUGCUCUUCAAAUGGAUAUAGAAUUAAAUUUUUUAAAAUCAGACAACGAAGUGUGGGGAUUUCGACUUACUGGUGGGGCUGAGUACGAUGUACCUUUUGUUGUUCUUCAUGUCGCAGAUGGUAGUAUAGCUGAUAAAGGCGGCUUAAAAAUUAACGAUGUUAUAGUAAAUGUAAAUGGAAUUUCUACCAUCGAGCUGACUCACAAUGAAACCCACAAUUUACUACUAACAGCAGGGAAUAGUUUGAAGCUGGUUAUUAGAAGGGAUGAAACUGAUUUAAUUUCUCCUCUGACAUAUGACGAUGACACCAAUGAAGAAGUCAGUAAUAUAAUGCAACCAUAUCUUGAUAAUGAUGAAAACUUUGAACACGAACGUCAAGUACAUUUCGAAAUAAUUGAUCCCACAGCUGAAAAAUAUUUUGAGGAAAAGUCUCCUAUGUUGUCGGAAGGACAAAAGGAUAUAUCACUGAAAAAUGUAGUUCAUCAAAAUGGUUUCAGUACAAAUGAGCGGAAAUGGUCAUCGUUUUUACAAAAACCAACAAAUCCAAAACCUAGUCCAAAGAAAAAUGAAGAACAUCCUAAAGUAGAGCCCUACAGAGUUGUAAUAAUAAAGCAGAAGAAAAAAACUUUAGAAGAGAGGAAAAAUAAAACACCUCUACAAAAUGUUAAAUCGAGCGAACACAUCAGCGAAGAUGAAGAAAAUGGAGAUAUUAAUCAAGAUAACUCAAAAACUCCGGAUAACACUCAAAUCGAGGAAACCGUCCUUACUGAUGAAGAAAUAAAAGAAGAAAGCGAAGCAGAAGGUCAAGAAGAUAUUGAAAAAUCAGAGACACAGUCUAGCGAAGAGAACAAUGUCGAGGAACAAGACCCACAACUAGCACUAAACGAAACACAGAUUGAGAAAGAUGAUGUAUUAGAGAGAUUUUUAGAGGAAAAAUUAACAGAAGUUCAAAAACAAUUGGAAGAGUUGUCAAAAUUACCAUCGACUAUUCAGUCCACAAUAGAUUCACUUAACAAACAACUAGCUAGUAUUGUUAAAAUUACCCCAACCGAAGCUGCAAAAAAUGAAGAAAAAGAAUUGUCUGAUAAUAAUUCUGAAUCAGAGGAUGAUGUGGCAGAACAAACAGUCACAGAAGACAGUGUAUACUUAGAAGAAGAACGUGAUGCAGAAAAAGAAGUACACCAGAGUGAAGAAAGAAUUGAAGAUGUAGAGCUACCAUUUGAUGAGAAAUCAGAAACACAAGAAACUUUAGACGUGGAAGAAGAAAAUGUAAUGGAGGAGGACUCUAAGAAGGAACAAGAACUCACUGAGGAACAACAGGAGGCUAUCAGACAGGAACAAGAAUUAUUAGAAAAACAAGAAAAGGAACGAGAACUAAUUGAAGAGUUCAAGCAACGUCGUUUGAAACAAAAGCCAACGUUACCUUUAAAACCAAUUGAACGUCCAAUAAUUUUGCCUGGAGGUCGAAGAUGGUCCCAACCUGACGAUGCAUGUCCAGUUGCAAGACAUACAAAAAUGUCUGACGAAAAAAUUGCAAAUACAAUAGAAACUUAUUCGGAAGUAAUCGUUGGAAAAACGAAAGGGUAGGCAGAUAUAUUAAUUUUUGGUACUGAAUGUGUGUUACUUUCAGGUUAAACAAUGGAAUCAAAUAUGGCCUUGGUCCGAUAAAAAAAAGACCAUUUACAGGUAUUGUUCGGUUGCAAAGACGAAAUUACACAACAUUCACAUUCAUGUACAUGUUUGCAUUCAUCGAUAAUGUACCUAAACCUACUCGUAUAUUCUAUAAAAAAAAUGAAAUUAAGAGGCUUGCAAUGUUAAUGUUGUGCACAUUUGUUAUUAGGGCAUGUUUUAAAUAGUUUUACUUUUUACCGUCGAAUUUAAGUAGUUGUACCACUCCAAGGGAGGUGAAUAAUUUAAAGUAUCAAUUUUUUAAAAUAUCAACCACCGCCAAAAAAUUUGGAUUAUCUUCACCGAUCGGAUGUUUACAAGCUUGUACAUGA